UGUCCGGUGGCGUAGUGGGUAGCGUGUGUGCGUUUUACCCAUGAAGUCCUGGGUUCGAUCCCCAGCUGGGUCG
rnacentral:tRNA from 1 species